rnacentral:rRNA from 1 species
GACGAACGCUGGCGGCGUGCUUAACACAUGCAAGUCGAACGGAAAGGCCCUGCUUUUGUGGGGUGCUCGAGUGGCGAACGGGUGAGUAACACGUGAGUAACCUGCCCUUGACUUUGGGAUAACUUCAGGAAACUGGGGCUAAUACCGGAUAGGAGCUCCUGCUGCAUGGUGGGGGUUGGAAAGUUUCGGCGGUUGGGGAUGGACUCGCGGCUUAUCAGCUUGUUGGUGGGGUAGUGGCUUACCAAGGCUUUGACGGGUAGCCGGCCUGAGAGGGUGACCGGCCACAUUGGGACUGAGAUACGGCCCAGACUCCUACGGGAGGCAACAGUGGAGAAUAUUGCACAGUGGGCGGAAGCCUGAUGCAACAACGCCGCGUGCGGGAUGACGGCCUUCGGGUUGUAAACCGCUUUCGCCUGUGACGAAGCGUGAGUGACGGUAAUGGGUAAAGAAGCACCGGCUAACUACGUG